GACGAACGCUGGCGGCGUGCUUAACACAUGCAAGUCGAACGGAAAGGCCCUGCUUUUGUGGGGUGCUCGAGUGGCGAACGGGUGAGUAACACGUGAGUAACCUGCCCUUGACUUUGGGAUAACUUCAGGAAACUGGGGCUAAUACCGGAUAGGAGCUCCUGCUGCAUGGUGGGGGUUGGAAAGUUUCGGCGGUUGGGGAUGGACUCGCGGCUUAUCAGCUUGUUGGUGGGGUAGUGGCUUACCAAGGCUUUGACGGGUAGCCGGCCUGAGAGGGUGACCGGCCACAUUGGGACUGAGAAUCGGCCCAGACUCCUACGGGGGGCAGAAGUGGGGAAUAUUUCAAAAUGGGCCGAAGCCUGAUGCCGCCACGCCGGGUGCGGGAUGGCGGCCUUCGGGUUGUAAACCGCUUUCGCCUGUGACCAAGCGUGAGUGACGGUAAUGGGUAAAGAAGCACCGGCUAACUACGUG
rnacentral:rRNA from 1 species